CCUGAACGCUGGCGGCGUGGCUAAGACAUGCAAGUCGCACGGUGUAGCAAUACACAGUGGCGAACGGGUGAGUAAUGAAUCGCUAAUGUACCCUGGACUCUGGGAUAGCUGGCCGAAAGGCCAGGUAAUACCAGAUGAGACCACGAACAGGCAUCUGUUUGUGCUCAAAGGUCCGCCGGUCUGGGAGCAGGCGAUUUCGUAUCAGCAGUUGGUGAGGUAACGGCUCACCAAGGCGACGACGCGUAGCCGGACUGAGAGGUUGGCCGGCCACAUCGGGACUGAGACACUG
rnacentral:rRNA from 1 species